UCGAUUCGGUGGGGGGAGUGUUUCACGGAGGGGAAGCCAAGUCAGGGCAAGCAUUGUUGAAGAAUAUUUCAGCUGAAUUAUCACACAAAAUGUGGACGACCACAACGGCAAGCUGAUGCAGGGAGGCAACAUCAGGCCCCUUCUCAGCCCCCCUCCCCUUCUCAACCACCCUCCCCUUCUCACUCCCCCUCCCCUUCCCAGUCCCCCUCAGCUUCCCAGUCCACCUCAGCUUCCCAGUCCACCUCAGCUUCCCAGUCCCCCUCAGCUUCCCAGUCCACCUCAGCUUCCCAGUCCCCCUCAGCUUCCCAGUCCCCCUCCCCUUUCCAGUCCCCUUCUCAGCCCACCUCUCCUUCUCUUUCUGUGCCCCCUUCUCCUCCUUCCCAGUCCCCUUCUCCUUCUCCUUCCAACUCCCCUUCUCAGCCCCCCUCACCCUCUAUUGGACAAACAUUCUCUCCGCCCCCCUCGCCCUCUCAAUCAGACCCACCCUCAGAAAAUACAUCCCCAAUCCCUCCUCCUUCCCCCAUCUCUCCUCCUUCCCCAAUCCCUCCU